rnacentral:rRNA from 1 species
AUUGAACGCUGGCGGCAUGCCUUACACAUGCAAGUCGAACGGCAGCACGGGAGCAAUCCUGGUGGCGAGUGGCGAACGGGUGAGUAAAGUAUCGGAACGUGCCCAGUCGUGGGGGAUAACGUAGCGAAAGUUACGCUACUACCGCAUACGAUCUAUGGAUGAAAGCGGGGGAUCGCAAGACCUCGCGCGAUUGGAGCGGCCGAUAUCAGAUUAGGUAGUUGGUGGGGUAAAGGCUAACCAAGCCGACGAUCUGUAGCUGGUCUGGGAGGACGUCCAGCCACACUGGAACUGAGAAAAGGUCCAGACUCCUACGGGAGGCAGCAGUGGGGAAUUUUGGACAAUGGGCGAAAGCCUGAUCCAGCCAUUCCGCGUGCAGGAUGAAGGCCCUCGGGUUGUAAACUGCUUUUGUACAGAACGAAAAGGUUUCUACUAAUACUAGGAGCUCAUGACGGUACUGUAAGAAUAAGCACCGGCUAACUACGUGCCAGCCGCCGCAGUAA